CAAUAGCGUAUAUUAAAGUUGUUGCGGUUAAAAAGCUCGUAGUUGGAUUUCUGCUGAGGACGACCGGUCCGCCCUCUGGGUGAGUAUCUGGUUCGGCCUGGGCAUCUUCUUGGAGAAGCGUAGCUGCACUUGACUGUGUGGUGCGGUAUCCCAGGGACUUUUUACCUUUUUUGGGGAAAAAUUAGAGUGUUUCAAGCAGGCACACGCCUUGAAUACAUUAGCAUGGAAUAAUAAGAUAGGACCUCGGUUCUAUUUUGUUGGUUUCUAGAGCUGAGGUAAUGAUUAAUAGGGAUAGUUGGGGCGAUUCGUAUUUAACUGUCAGAGGUGAAAUUCUUGGAUUUGUUAAAAGACGGACUACUGCGAAAGCAUUUGCCAAGGAUGUUUUCAUUGAUCAAGAACGAAAGUUAGGGGAUCGAAG
rnacentral:rRNA from 1 species